rnacentral:rRNA from 1 species
UACGUAGGGUGCGAGCGUUGUCCGGAAUUAUUGGGCGUAAAGGGCUCGUAGGCGGCCAACUAGGGCCUACGUGAAAUCCCUCAGCUUAACUGGGGAACUGCGUGUGAUACUGGAUGGCUUGGAUGUGGGAGAGGGAUGCGGAAUUCCAGGUGUAGCGGUGAAAUGCGUAGAUAUCUGGAGGAACACCGGUGGCGAAGGCGGCAUCCUGGACCAUUAUUGACGCUGAUGAGCGAAAGCCAGGGGAGCAAACGGG